UACGUAGGGUCCGAGCGUUGUCCGGAAUUACUGGGCGUAAAGAGCUCGUAGGUGGUUUGUCGCGUUGUCCGUGAAAACUCACAGCUCAACUGUGAGCUUGCGGUCGAUACGGGCAGGCUCGAGUUCGGUAGGGGAGACUGGAAUUCCUGGUGUAGCGGUGAAAUGCGCAGAUAUCAGGAGGAACACCAGCGGCGAAGGCGGUGCUCUGGGCCGGUACUGACACUGAGGAGCGAAAGCGUGGGUAGCAAACAGG
rnacentral:rRNA from 1 species